GACAGAGGCCCCAAGCGUUAGGCGGAAUUACUGGGCGUAAAGGGUGCGUAGGUGGUUUUUUAAGUCUGCUGUGAAAUCCCCGGGCUCAACCUGGGAAUGGCAGUGGAUACUGGAAAGCUGGAGUGCGGUAGAGGGUAGUGGAAUUCCCGGUGUAGCAGUGAAAUGCGUAGAGAUCGGGAGGAACACCAGUGGCGAAGGCGGCUACCUGGACCAGCACUGACACUGAGGCACGAAAGCGUGGGGAGCAAACAGG
rnacentral:rRNA from 1 species